rnacentral:tRNA from 1 species
AUAGAGCCUUAGUAGUAUAACUAAUAC